UACGGAGGGUGCAAGCGUUAAUCGGAAUUAUUGGGCCUAAAGCAUCCGUAGCCGGCUCUGUAAGUUUUCGGUUAAAUCUGUACGCUCAACGUACAGGCUGCCGGGAAUACUGCAGAGCUAGGGAGUGGGAGAGGUAGACGGUACUCGGUAGGAAGGGGUAAAAUCCUUUGAUCUAUUGAUGACCACCUGUGGCGAAGGCGGUCUACCAGAACACGUCCGACGGUGAGGGAUGAAAGCUGGGGGAGCAAACCGG
rnacentral:rRNA from 1 species